CCCUUAGAUGUUCUGGGCUGCACGCGCGCUACACUGAUGCGCUCAACGAGUUUUAACCUUGCCUGGAAAGGUUGGGUAAUCUUUUUAAAACGCAUCGUGAUGGGGAUAGAUUAUUGCAAUUAUUAAUCUUCAACGAGGAAUUCCUAGUAAGCGCGAGUCAUCAGCUCGUGCUGAUUACGUCCCUGCCCUUUGUACACACCGCCCGUCGCUCCUACCGAUUUCGAGUGGUUCGGUGAACCUUUCGGACCGGCAAUGCCUCGUGUUGCGCCGGAAAGUCAAGUAAACCAUAUCACUUAGAGGAAGGAGAAGUCGUAACA
rnacentral:rRNA from 1 species